rnacentral:lncRNA from 13 species
GUGUGCCCCAAGAUCAUCCCACUGUUUUCUGAGGACUGCUGUUAACCAGUUAGACUGCUCAAGUUUCAAUCAAGUCCCAUCAGUUUUUCUAGGAUUGUGGAAAUAAUAUCCAUUCUAUCCAGAAACUCCAUGACUUACCUUCACAUUUAGGUAAGAUGAUACUUUAUUUUGAUGUAAAAAUAUGCCUUUGAUCCUAACUCUAGGAAAUCUCUCUUCAGCAGAACAUUUUCUGUUUUAAAGUCUGUUCGAGUUAAAAUGCUUUCUGUCAAAGCAUAGUGUUCCUAUCUGGUGAUGUCUUUAGCCUUUAGGAUCCUUAAAACCUUCAACUGUUAGAAACAAGAGUAUUAGAAUAUGUUGCAUAUAACUGUUUUCAUCUCAACUAAUAGAUAAAUUAGUGGCUAAGUGCCUAAUGUAAUUUUCUUAGUGGGAAAUUUACUGUAAUGAUUCUGAGUCCUCUCAUUAUAUAAAUUACAAGGAUAUAUUGAGUAUCACGUUCAAUGAAGAUCAUGGAUUUGAAAGUUGUUUCUCUCUCUCUGUUCUAUUUUUUGUGUCUGCUUCUUUCUUCUCCCUCAUUGUCUAUUGUUCAUUUUUACCACACAGAUCAAACUGGGGGACAGUGGCCACCAACCAACUGCAGAUGCUUGCCGGGUAUGGUGACGGGUGCCUGUAGUCCCAGCUACUCCGGAGGCUGACGCAGGAGACUCUCUUGAACCCGGGAGGUGGAGGUUGCAGUGAGCCGGGAUCAUGGCAUUGCACUCCAGCCUGAGCAACAAGAGCGAAACUCCAUCUCAAAAUAAAUAAAUAAAUAAACUUAAAUACCCA